rnacentral:rRNA from 1 species
AUGUUUAGUAGACAUCAGAAUGCAUUUAUUAAACACAGAAAUAUCAUGGAUGGGGUAUUGUCUUUACAUGAGAUUUUUCAUCACACUUCCAUCAAAAAACGAGUGGGCAUUGUUAUUAAACUCGAUUUCGAGAAAGCAUAUGACAAGGUGAAUUGGGACUUUCUGUUGGAAUGUCUCGAGAUGAGAGGGUUCGGUACCACUUGGUGUAAGUGGAUUAAAAGCGUCUUGACUGAUGGUACUGUCAGUGUUAAGUUGAACAAUACCAUGGGGCCUUAUUUCAAAAGCUUUAAGGGGGUCAGACAAGGAGACCCUAUGUCACCGUUCCUUUUCAACAUAGCAGUCGAGUGCCUAUCUAAGAUGGUGCUGCAGACUCAGAAAAAUAACCUAAUUGCUGGGCUUGCACCGGAUCUUAUUGAAAAUGGAGUGGCCAUUCUGCAGUAUGCAGAUGAUACAGUCUUGUGCAUAGAUCAUGACCUAGAUAAGGCUGUGAAUAUGAAAUUGUUACUGUGCAUCUUCGAGCUCAUGUCCGGGCUCAAGAUCAAUUUCCAAAAAAGUGAGAUCCUGUGUGUAGGGGGGAUGAUGAUAUCCUUAAAACAUAUGCUGAUAUUUUUGAUUGCCAAAUAG